CUCCCGCUCUUCACUACUACUGAACAUUUGAGUCCAUAAACCCUCACAUUUUGAAUCGCCUCUCUGCUCACCUUCUUUCCCUCACAUCUCUCGUAUUAGCUAAAGUUCCAGCGAGGGCUUCAGUAAAGUUCCGGCCAUUACCUGAUGUUAAUGGACUCUCUCAAUCAAUUUCUCUAAUCGAUUAGAUUACAGGCUUGAGACCUAUUUAAUUGGGUGCUUCAAUCAAUUUAGGGGCUUAAAUGAAUUGGGGCUUCACUCCCAGUUAGGGCUUCAGUUGGAGCUUAGAUCGUGAUUUAUGUUUUGUAGAAGAUACUUGUACAGCCCUUGAAAGCUUCAAGAGAAGUCCAUGGAUAUGGGACUCAAGCUGAAGAACCACAAGGAAAAGCUUAAGCUGUUAAUGGAUCAACCUAACAGAGUCAAAGACUUGACUGUUCCAGAAUUUAGAACUCUCCAAGCUUGGGAAGUGCGAGCAAAUGCAAGAAUAUGUUUGUAUAUAUAAUAGUGUAGUUUACUAUUAUGUUUGGUCGGAUUUGUUUAAUAUUUUAUUUUGGUUGGAUUUGUUAGGUAGUUUGGUUUUGGUGGAUUUGUUAUAAACUUUGAUUUGUAUGAAAGAAUAGUUUAAUGUUGUAGUUGA